rnacentral:lncRNA from 1 species
GAAAUGUCAUUUUAACCAUCUUUGGAAAAUAUAAUCAGCAAGAGUGUUCCAGCAGAAAACAGAGUCACAACCAAAUUAGGAUAAUUCAAAGAGGCUUAACUAAGGCACUAGUGGAGUUCCCGUCGUGGCUCAGUGGUUAACGAAUCCGACUAGGAACCACGAGGUUGCAGCAUCAAUCCCUGGCCUUGCUCAGUGGGUUAAGGAUCCGGUGUUGCCGUGAGCUGUGGUGUAGGUUGCAAACGUGGCUCCGAUCCCGUGUUGCUGUGGCUGUGGCAUAGGCCAGUGGCUAUAGCUCCAAUUGGACCCCUAGCUUAGGAACCUCCAUAUGCUGUGGGAGCGGCCCAAGAAAUGGCAAAAAAGACAAAAAAAAAAAAAAAAAAGAAGAAGCUUAACCAAGGUACUAGUUAUGAAGAUAUAGGCAGGGCAUAGGGAAACAGAGACUAAUGUGUGACAAAGAAACUACUACACCCCUAUAAGGAAGGAACAAGAAGAAUAAGAGGUUACAGGACCUCAGGAGAGAAGAGUUCAGGAAGUGUUCCCUUGAGAGCACAAAUCCCACCCUCCCAGCCAGGGCUUUCCAUUGGCUGAACCCAACAGGACGUCCAAAGGCCCAGAGCCUACACUGAGCUGCCUCUGGGGAAGAGAGCAGAGUGAGGAAGAGCAGAGAGUACAUCUGGAGAGGCAAGCAGAAGAUACCCAGGUAUCCUCUGAGGACUGUGGAGAGAGGAUGCAGCCAGAGGCUGCUUUGCUAAGAGCACACGUGGAGGAGGAGAUUUUGCUCAUGGCUUCCUGGGAGGCUGUAGACCAAAGGCAGUGACCCUGAUCAGAAAACACUACUUUUUCUCUCCAGUGCAGAAAGGAGAGAAGACAAAAAUUUGGACCCAGAAAGAAGAAUCUCCCUCUCUCUCUCUCUCCAUGUCAAAUUAAAAGUAACUUCCACUUCUUGUGGUGGGAACUAUAAUCCUACUGAAAUUACAGCAGCAAAGCUGGGGGGCCUAUUACACUGUGCUCUGUCAGGGACGUGUGGUCCCUAGGAAACUAGCCAUUUAAGCAGC